CCAGCGGGCCCCCUCUCGGAUGGGAAGGGACGCGGGAAGAAAGUGACCUCCGGACCCUCGGCUGUGCCCUGCACCGCCAAGGUGUUAACUGCUGCAGCCUCCGCUGUUAACGAGGAAAGCUGCUUUGAUGGUCUUGUAAUGUUGUACCCAAACAGCGACAGUAAUAAUAAAUAUGGAGGCAGCUGAUAUAAAUAUGCUUAUAUCAGCAACGUUCAGUUUAAACAGCCCUGUGGGCCAUGGGCUGGUAAACAUGUGAGAAAGUCCUCUGACUACUGGUAAAUGAGAUGGGUAGUUCAAACAAUCUGGGAAAAAUGAUCUCCGUCCACUAUAUUGAAUGCAGCCCUUUUUCGUGUUUGAACUCGCAAGCACAUAGUAGGUGCGACAGAGCAAUGGCACCCACAGAUGCCAGUCUGUUAAUCCCAAACCUGUGAAUAUAAAGCAACGUGGACUGCUCUGUGAUUAAGGAUCUUCAGAAGCUGGAGAUGCCCCAUGGACAGAGGAGCCUGGCAGGCUACAGUCAUAGGGUCGCCAUGAGUCCGCCACUACUGAAGCAACCUGUCAUGCACUGGAAACUGACAAAGAGAAGAAAAAGGAUUCUCCCCUUGAAGCCUCCAGAAGAAUAGCAGCCCAGGUCCUACCUUAAUUUUAGACUUUUGACCCCCAGAACAGUAAGAUAAUAAAUUCAUGUUGUUUUAAACCAC